GAUUCGCUCAUGUAUCUAUGUAACAACGUUUUAGAUUUUAACGAGAGAAAUGUAUGUAUUACUGAAAAAUUAUUACACCAGGAUUUUCGAUAUCACAAACUAGUCAAAACAUUUAAAAAAAAAUAUCGGUACAAGGACAUCAUUCGUAAAUAUAGCUGAACAUGAUUAGAUGACUUCUUGUACGUUCUGGUAUUUCACAUCCAAUCUUUUAUGGUAAUAUUCUUUAUAAAGCACACAAAUGUCAGAAGCUGACAAGAAGAAGGGAUAUAGUUACGAUACUGUUGUAAGGUCAUUAAAGAUUCAUAUUUUGGUUUUAAUAUUGAUUCACUUAUAGGGUCUUUGCAUCGGC
rnacentral:lncRNA from 1 species